rnacentral:rRNA from 1 species
UACGUAGGGUGCGAGCGUUGUCCGGAAUUAUUGGGCGUAAAGGGCUCGUAGGCGGUUUGUCGCGUCGGGAGUGAAAUCCACUGGCUUAACUGGUGGCUUGCUUUCGAUACGGGCAGACUGGAGGUAUGCAGGGGAGAACGGAAUUCCUGGUGUAGCGGUGAAAUGCGCAGAUAUCAGGAAGAACACCUAUGGCGAAAGCAGCUCUCUGGGACGGUACUGACGCUGAGACGCGAAAGCGUGGGGAGCGAACAGG